CACAUCCUGGGACUGGAGCAGGUCCCAAGGGUUUGGCUGUUCGCCAAUUAAAGUGGUACGUGAGCUGGGUUUAAAACGUCGUGAGACAGUUUGGUCCCUAUCUUUCGUGGGCGCAGGAUAUUUGAGGAGAUCUGAUCCUAGUACGAGAGGACCGGAUUGGACCAACCAAUGGUGUUCCAGUUGUCGCGCCAGCGGCAUUGCUGGGUAGCUAAGUUGGGUAUGGAUAACCGCUGAAAGCAUCUAAGCGGGAAGCCAACUUCAAGAUAAGAUAUCCCAUCUAUUUAUAGACUAAAGACCCCUUGAAGACUACAAGGUUGAUAGGCCAGGUGUGUAAGCACAGUAAUGUGUUCAGCUAACUGGUACUAAUAGGUCGUGAGGCUUAGCCACUUCCUCC
rnacentral:rRNA from 1 species